UGAAUUAUCAGUACACUGAACUGAGAAUUGUUUCGUUCGGACGCGUCCGAGAACCAAUGAGCUGUUGAUACAACGCAUGCUUGAAAAACUGAACUGAUACAGCGAAUCAUCAGUACACUGAAAUGAGAACUGGUUCUUUCGGACGCGACCGACAUGCUGAGAACCGAUGAGCUGUCGUUACUGCGCAUGCGUAAUUCACUGAACUAAUACAGCGACAAAUGGAAAUGAUUAAAAGUGCCAAAUUUCAUCGCUGAGUGGUUGUGUGGGAAGUUCUUGUGGGGGAAGGUGUCCAUCCCAGACGUGCACGUGUGGAGUCUAUAAACGGCGUGGCCGCGGUACCUGACAGACACACAGCGAUUGAGAGAAUGGCCAUGCCGCUCCAUCAACAGUACACCGCUGUGAUGCAAAUCUGUGGAAACACGCACCACCCAAAAAGGCUCCACUUUUAUUUUCAAAGAAAAGGAAGUGAAAAUAGGCACCUACAAUACCAACACGCAAUGCAUGUUGAGCGACGGCAAGCAACUAUAUAUGGUGUCAAAAUUUGGCCAUGACACCAAUUUUAUGGCUGAUCAUUCCUAUGUCAUUAAAAACUUUGUUUUAAAUGCUAGAAAUGGGCGACAGAAUUUGGACCAAAAACAUUGACAUUUAGAACAGCUCCCCUGGACCUAUCAGAGAAAGCAGAGAGAGCAACGAGGGCGGCCCUUUAUCCACCUUCACAACAAGUGACUGUGAAGAAAAGGACCUUUUUUUCAAGACCCGGAUUUUUUACUCUCCAGGGCAAAAUUAAAACUGUGUGUAGGGUGAGAAUGACAAGGUCGCAGGUUCCCACCCGGGAUUUAUCCAUAAUACCAACACAUUUUAGAUGUGUCCUUGUGGAGGGACGAGGCUGUGACAAAAUUCAACGAAGGGGAUGAGGUGGAGCUUGCCCACCUUCACACCAGCAUCCAGGCGAAUGGGAGGGGAAAAUUUAAUUCCUCUGUCAAGGUCACCGAGGGACAAAGAGUGGUGCAAGAGCUGGAGGUUGUUGGGGUACUCGAAAACGACUACGCCUUUUAUCCUGCUUGAGCUCGUCUGAAAAGUACAUCUUGCCUGUUGAGAUUUACUCUGGCAGCCUUGAAAAUCUAAGAGGCUGCCGUUAAAAGUAUGUGUAGAGAGCAUGAACUAAAAAGUUCUCAAAUUAAAUGUGGUAGAGGCAAGUGGGUAAAUAGACCUACAUUUAUUUAGGAUGGUUUGUAUGACGGUUUUGUUUUAAUAGUUUGUUAAUUUGUUCUUUUUAGGGUUUAAUUAUCAUUUAGUUUUGUCAAACUAUCCUGUAACGUUAUGUGCAAUUCUGUUUCUAUUUUAUAAAUGUUCUGCUUAAUUCUAGUAACUAAGCCUGAUGAUUUUUCCCCACACGUACCAAAAUAAACACAAACCCUUAAAAUAAUUUAAGAAUUUAAGCAGACCAUUCAUAAAAACGUUACCUUUUAUUUCUUUGUGGUUAUUAAUCAGAUGUGUACUGUUACUGUAUCUAACAGACACCUAUACAGGGAUAAAGCUAGCUUCAUUUGAGCAGUCUGUAGCCCUAAGAUGAGAUAAGAGAAAGUGUACAUAAUUGUCUAUGAAAAAGAACAAGUUAUUCAAGCUAACAAGCUAUGGUAAAAUAAAUUCAAGUUCAAGUUUA